AAACUCACUUUUUGUUUACCAGAUCCACCAGGUCAAAUGUGAAGUUUUCAAAUCACCAAGGAGUCUCAUUUCGUAUGUGGAAAAGAAAACAUAAAGAGAGAGAUACAUUUUCAGCAUCUUGUGUUGCUGAAAUAUUCAAUUUCUAGUAAUUUCUCCAUUGGGCAUGUAAUUUUUUAUUUGAGUGAUGACCAUGACUAUUUUCACUAUUGACAGCUUCAGUCCUACUGCCAACUGUGUUAGUUACUUUACUUGUUUAAAUCUGAGUU
rnacentral:lncRNA from 1 species